GAGUUUGAUCUUGGCUCAGAACGAACGCUGGCGGCGUGCCUAACACAUGCAAGUCGAGCGCGAACGGCUCUUUCGGGAGUCUAGUAGAGCGGCGCACGGGUGAGUAACACGUAGACAACCUGCCUUCCAGCCUGGGAUAACCCCGCGAAAGUGGGGCUAAUACCGGAUAACAAUGGGGGUCUCAUGACCUCUAUUUGAAAGGCUUGCUACUGGGAGAGGGGUCUGCGCGGCAUUAGCUAGUUGGUGAGGUAACGGCUCACCAAGGCGACGAUGCCUAGCGGGUCUGAGAGGAUGAUCCGCCACACUGGAACUGAGACACGGUCCAGACUCCUACGGGAGGCAGCAGUGGGGAAUUUUGCGCAAUGGGCGAAAGCCUGACGCAGCAACGCCGCGUGAGUGAAGAAGGCCUUUGGGUCGUAAAGCUCUUUUCUGGGGGACGAUGCUGACGGUACUCCAGGAAUAAGCACCGGCCAACUCUGUGCCAGCCGCCGCGGUAAG
rnacentral:rRNA from 1 species